CCUCUCUCUCGUCAGCAACGCCGGAAAAUCCCCUUGCAACGCCGGCAAAUCCCGGCUGGUUUGGGCGAGCCUCUUACCGCCGACCACCGCACCGGCACCAAAUCCUCCUAAUGCACUGUCUCCAUGGCGUAGAACUGCCGUUCCGCAGCCUCCACAGCGAACCCUACACCGCAUAAAUGCGCCGAAGCGGCGCCGCCACGUUGCUCCGUCGAGCUUCGGCCGACCCUCCUCCUCAACUGCAUCAGCAGGCCGCCGCCAAGAACACCCACUGCUACAAAUCGAAAGGCUCCUUCAGGUAACGGCGUGUGGCCGCGGGCGGCGGGACGGUCUCGUUGCGGCGCCGGGAUGACGGCGGGGACGAACGCAGGACGGGCCGGUGGUCGCCUGCGGCGCCUGCUGCUGCUGCAAGAAAUCCGGCGGGAGCUUCUGCUGCCGGUGUCUUCUUCUGGCAACCCGCCCUCAACCGUGGGCUACCACUCGAAGCUGCUGCAUCCAGAAAUGAUACAAGUAUGCAUCGCAAGAGACAAGCACGCAAGAAUAUAACCACUAAUUGCAAGUCGUGGCAAGGAAAAGGGAGGGGAGAUACAGAGGAAGAAUGGAAGAUGUCUCCUUUUCUGCCCUGGUUGUAGUGGCGCUGGGCCUUUCUGGCAGCCAGAGAUUCCUCUUCUAGCAUGGUUGCCACCGUAGGUCAGCAGUAGGAGCCGCGAUUGCUGGACCUCUAAUUCGAGCAGGAUGGAAGAAAGGUUUUCCCUAUGGCAGCUAGCGAAAACUGGCCUGCUCGGUGGUGCCGCGGGCAUUGAUUCGACGGUCCACAUCGUGCACGUGGACGAGGGAGCGCGGUGUGGACUGUGCUGCAUGUCGGCGGG